rnacentral:tRNA from 1 species
UGGCUGAGUAGUAAAGCACUUGGCUUCUGAACUGGGGAUCCCAGGUUCAAAUCCUGG